rnacentral:rRNA from 1 species
UACGUAGGGUGCAAGCGUUGUUCGGAAUUACUGGGCGUAAAGCGCACGUAGGCGGAUAUUUAAGUCAGGGGUGAAAUCCCAGAGCUCAACUCUGGAACUGCCUUUGAUACUGGGUAUCUUGAGUAUGGAAGAGGUAAGUAGAAUUGCGAGUGUAGAGGUGAAAUUCGUAGAUAUUCGCAGGAACACCAGUGGCGAAGGCGGCUUACUGGUCCAUUACUGACGCUGAGGUGCGAAAGCGUGGGGAGCAAACAGG